CGCUCCCGGAAGCGAGGCCCACAUCCGGGCACGAAGCCUCGUUCACGGCGUUGGCGGCCAGGCCCUCGACGCGAGCGGGGAGCCGCGUGCGGCCGAGGGGCCUGGACCGCGGGUGGGCGCGUCUGGCCGUCCUCUAGGGCAGCGCUUGCGCCGGCGCUGAAGGCUCCCACCCCGCGAGCCGGCCGGAGUGACACAGUCCCGGGCCCGCGCAGAGGAAGAGAUUCAAGAAGUAAGCCAGGCCCGACCGGGGGGUGGCGCACGCUCCCCGAACCCCGGGGCCGAGCCCUCGGUCGGCGCUGGCUGUGUGUUCCCCCCUCGGGUGGGCGCUGCAGACCUCUUCCGAGUGGACCCGGAGGGAGUGAGCCGGCCUCCGCCCAACUUUGUAAGACAGGGAUUGAGAAACGGAAAUACCACCACCCUCGGGCCAAACUUGUGAGGACUGAUUGCAGGGGAACUGGUGCUCCAGAUGUUGCACUAGAGGCGUUGCAAGUGUGAGCAGGUGGCAGUAGACCUGCAUCGCAGGUUGUAGCAGAUGUUCUCAACAUUUCUCUUGAAAUUUCCUUAUCUCCGUUUGCAAGAGGAGCCCCAGAGCCUCAUCCCUGUGGUAGCUGCCAUGUUCUGGUAUAAGCUGUUAUUCACCAGGGAGCUUUGGCAAGAGAAUGGCUGUAUCAGGAAGUCCAUCUCCACCGUGGAAAAACAACUUGAAACUCGUCUUUAUUGACGAGUAUAAACAAAUCCCAAGGUCAGAGACUGGUAGGACUGAUGCUCACUGAAGUCAAAGAAACGCCUCACUCUAGGGAGAGGAUCCUUAUACGACAGGUGUACUGUCUGUAGGAUGGAGAUAGACUGAAUACCUGCUUCGCUGAAUACUGGCUUCAGAUCACCUUUCACAUUUUCUUGUUGGAAAGGCAGCUGUUGGAGAAUCAUCUUGUUACCGUCAGCAAAAAUGGAAACAAAUCAAGACAUUAAGAAUGCCACGGUGAAGGACUUCCCUGGUGGCGCAGUGGCUAAGAAUCCACCUGCCAAUGCAGGGGACAUGGUUCAAUCCCUGGUCUGGGAGAUCCCACAUGCCACGGAGCAACUAAGCCCAUGAGCCACGACUACUGAGCCUGCACGCCUAGAGCCCGUGCUCCACAACAAGAGAAGCCACUGCAAUGAGAAGCCCAUGCACCUCAAUGAAGAGUAGCCCUGCUCGCCACAACUAGAGAAAGCCCAUGUGCAGCAGUGAAGACGCAACGUAGCCAUAAAUAAUGAAUAGAUAGAUAGGUAGAUAGAUAGAAUGCCACAGUGAGUGACCAGCAGUUAAUGAUGCCAGUGUUAUGCAAGCUUUGGCAAAGGAAUUUUUCAAGACAGUGUGCCUCACCAGCCAGGAAUCAGGAAAAGUUGAACCUCUCCUUUUUAUCUCAGCUUUUUCUUAAAUCAAUGCAGCCCCUCCAAAUUAAAGUGAAUUGAAACAUGCAUUGCCUUUUCAACUUAAUUGAGUACUUACUAUGUGUGAAUCACUGUACAAAACAGGGGAGGGAAAAUUAGGAGACAAAUAAGAUGUGGUCCCUGCCUUCAGUGGAUUUACAGUCAGUUUCAGGGCAUACAUUUUUUUGUUGUUGUUUGGUCUUCUGCUCUUCAGCAUGUCUCUAAAACAGGAAACAAAUGGAAAAGUAUAUUCUGUAAGUAUUUUAAAUCUCUUUAAUACAAAACAGAACAAAACAAAAUUCCUAAUGUGGGCAAGUCAGGACAUCUUAAUUCCAUUUUUUUUGGACUUCUGAUAGUUAGGACCCAUUUUAUUGAUUCCACGUACAUUCAGGAGACUUUAGAGAUACUAGUACAUUAUAGUUGGAGCAAAUUUGUAUAAAUCCUUUUUCCCCCUUAGGUGUAGAUUGUAUAUUGAAGAAAUAUAUUGUGUUUGUACAUUUCUUGGAAAGUAGGGAGGUAAAUUAAAUCUGUUGUCUCUAUAGGCCUCUGCCUUCAAUGCCCUAGGGGCCUGCCACUCCAAGUGAGUUACUAGCAUGGAGAGGGGAAAGGUUUGCCUCAAGAUUGAGGGUGUUUUUCAUGGACCCAAGAAAGGGCAGGGAAGGAGCAAAAGAGACCUGAGCAAAGGCUCUGUAUGAAAAUUUGGCUAUUUCAGUGUUCAUUGUGUUGUCUGUAUUCCAUAAGUUGGAUGACUAUACAAUUUUUCCAAAAAAUUACUUCUGAUCUGGGAAUAAGUCAUGAGUUUUCCAGUGUUAAGAUGCUAAUAUGACUGUAGACAUGGUGUCUGUGACACAUUUUAGUAUGUAUGAGCCAACAAUAGACAUGUCUUUGUCUUGAGUAGUGUCCACAUUUGAAUUGAAAAUGUGCCAGCUUUUUUUUUUUUUUAACAUCAUCAACAGACUUCUUAAUUAAGCUGCCAGUACAUACUGCCAAUAGCACUAUGUGCUGUUUGAGAAAUGAACUGUGUCAGUGCUGUUUCUCUCAUUUAAUAAACAACGUUGCUCCCUAUAAAAUGGAUGUAAAGUGUUCUUUGAAUGGAGCAUUAUAUGGCUCCCUAAAGAAUUUGUUGAGAAUUCUCAAAUCAUUCCUUUUUAUUUAAUUUCUAAAAACUUUUAUUUUGCUCCUCAGUAAGGAAUAACUCUAAUUUGACCAAUGACUUUAAUUAUAUGAUUCAUCCUUAAUAGGAUGCAUUGCCCCACCCCCAAACUCCUGAUGGUGAUACUGGAUAUUGGUUAUGUUACUUUCAGUUUGCGUGAAGUAGCUUCCAGGAAGUCUGAGUUAUGAACCUGUAGUGUACUAAAUUGUAGAUAUCUGUUUACUGUUCUGGGAGAUUUUUUAGGGGGACAACCUCUGUAUUCCUGGUACCUAGGACAGUGCCUGGUGCAUAGUAGAUAAGUGUUCAGUAAUUAUUUGGUGAUCAAGGCAUGUAAAGUAGCUUUUUCAUCUGUGGCUCGUAAGGCUCCGUAAAGGACAGAGGGGUCUUGCUAACAGAGUAGCACCUCUAUUAGUUUGUAGUUUACCUCAGUGUACUUAGAAUGAGUCCAAAUCAGCUGGAUACUUCGUAUAUUGUCUAGUUCACUGGUCCUCUUAAUUGGUGUCUUGGAUUCACCAGUUCAGCCCUGUCAUUCAUACCAACAUCCACUCUGCUUCCCCUGCACAGGGGCGGGGCUGCUCGGCUUCCCCUCCUCUGGGUUGUCCAUCAAUAGAAGAGCAAUCAUUCUAUUCAGUGCGUACUCAUGAUGUGCCAGGUGCUGAGCUUAGUGCUUUUCACAGAGCCUCUUAAUUAUCUCAUUUAAACCACACAGCAACCAUUUGAAGUGGGUAUUAUCCAUUGCACAGAUGUGUAUCUUAAGUCAUGGGGAAUCUAAGUCCAGAUCUUUUAGAUUCCAAAGCCUGAACUAUUAACCCCUACCCUCUGCUGCAUCCCAGGGGAAAUUCCCACUGCCUGUGGGUGGGGGACAGUUCAAAUCUGGUCAUAGUCUAGAUUCAUUGCAUUUAGUUAUUACUGAACAGCAAACGGUCUAAUGGAUAAAACCCAGCAAAUCACAGUUGUUUUGAGAAUGGGGGAGGGCAGAGCAGUUGGGAGAAAGCAAAGUUGGAAAGAAACCAAUUUGAGCCAAACCUUUAGCCUUUACCUCAUAAUCUUUUUUUUUUUUUU